CCGUGCUGCUCGCGCGACGGCUUCCCGAAGCCGGUGAGAUUCCGGCACGGUCGCGCCACUGUGUGCCCAUCCCGGGCGAGUCAGGUCGAGGAGCCGUCGUCAGGUCCACCCG
rnacentral:ncRNA from 2 species